rnacentral:rRNA from 1 species
UACGUAGGGGGCUAGCGUUGUCCGGAUUUAUUGGGCGUAAAGAGCGUGUAGGCGGCCAGAUAGGUCUGCUGUGAAAACUCGAGGCUCAACCUCGAGAUGUCGGCGGAAACCAUUUGGCUAGAGUCCGGAAGAGGAAAGUGGAAUUCCUGGUGUAGCGGUGAAAUGCGCAGAUAUCAGGAAGAACACCCGUGGCGAAGGCGGCUUUCUGGGACGGUACUGACGCUGAGGAGCGAAAGCGUGGGGAGCGAACAGG